rnacentral:lncRNA from 1 species
GUGGUUUGAGUUUUCUUUUUAAGUUUCAAUUUGCUUUUCUUGUCGUGUAGGUUAUAUGGUUUUAUUGUGAGAAAACUAUUAUUUUUUAACGAACUUGGUGUAGGUUAUAUGGUUUUAUUGUGAGAAAACUAUUAUUUUUUAACGAACUUGGAUUCGACGAGGAUUCCAAUUGGCUUUUGAGAAUGAUAUUCUUUGCAUUUAUGUGGCAUUUGGGGAUUGUACUACUAUGUCCAGCGAGUAAUUCUUGUAUGUCGUUAACCAGUUGCUCGUUUGGUUGGUUAAAUGAUCGUCUUCAAUGAUCUUAUUUCGGUUUGAUCGAGUUUAGUCUUUUAUUACAUGUAACUUUUCUCUUUUUUCUGGUGGUCAAUCUUUGGCUAUGUAUUUAUUGUUUGUGUUUUGCUCAUUCUUUUAUUUUUAAUGCUCUCUAUAGUUAUGUGCAGAAAGAAAUGUUGAUACGACAAUGAAGAGGUCGAUUCUAGUGCAAGUGAUGUUUCAGUCAAUUUGAGUUUAGCUGUGUCCUCUUUGACUUAAUCAAUUUAAUUGCUUAUAUUUAGUUCGAUUUUAUCGAUUUUUUAAUUUGACUUAUUUUAAUUUAAUUUCAUCAAAACCGUU